rnacentral:lncRNA from 1 species
UGGACAACAAAACCUUCAUCAAUAAAUUAAAAGUUCAGACAACAAACUAAUAGAGCUGUUUGCAACAUAAUUUAAAUUGAUAAAAAAUAAAUUUUAAUAAAUAUGAAGAAAUAAUAAUUUUAUUGAUAAACGAUAUGGGUACAAAUUUGCUCCUCCCUUGAUUCUUCAGUAGCAUAUUUCUUGAAUGUACUUCUCUCAUGAUUUUUUCCGUAAUUCGAGGGCCGUCAGUAGCAUAUUUCUCGAAUGUAUGAAGAUUUGGAUAUGAAUUUCUCCGUAAUUCGAGGGCCUUUAGUGGCGUAUUUCUAGUAACAUUUGGAUUUGAGGGUUUGUUUUCUCCGUAAUUCGAGGGCCGUUAGUGGCGUAUUUCUAGGAACAUUUGGAUUUGAGAGUUUUUUUUCUCCGUAAUUCGAGGGUUGUUAGUGGUGUAUUUCUACACAUUUGGAUUUGAUGUAUUUGAUUAUUUAUGAAUAUCCCAUGAAUUUAUUGGGACGUUUCAGAUCG